rnacentral:rRNA from 1 species
AUUGAACGCUGGCGGCAGGCUUAACACAUGCAAGUCGAGCGGGGGAAGGUAGCUUGCUACCGGACCUAGCGGCGGACGGGUGAGUAAUGCUUAGGAAUCUGCCUAUUAGUGGGGGACAACAUCUCGAAAGGGAUGCUAAUACCGCAUACGUCCUACGGGAGAAAGCAGGGGAUCUUCGGACCUUGCGCUAAUAGAUGAGCCUAAGUCGGAUUAGCUAGUUGGUGGGGUAAAGGCCUACCAAGGCGACGAUCUGUAGCGGGUCUGAGAGGAUGAUCCGCCACACUGGGACUGAGACACGGCCCAGACUCCUACGGGAGGCAGCAGUGGGGAAUAUUGGACAAUGGGGGGAACCCUGAUCCAGCCAUGCCGCGUGUGUGAAGAAGGCCUUAUGGUUGUAAAGCACUUUAAGCGAGGAGGAGGCUCUUUUGGUUAAUACCCAAGAUGAGUGGACGUUACUCGCAGAAUAAGCACCGGCUAACUCUGUGCCAGCAGCCGCGGUAACAC